rnacentral:rRNA from 1 species
UACGGGGGGAGCAAGCGUUGUUCGGAAUUAUUGGGCGUAAAGAGCUCGUAGGCGGUCUGUCGCGUCUGCUGUGAAAACUCGGGGCUUAACCCCGGGCCUGCAGUGGGUACGGGCAGACUAGAGUGCGGUAGGGGAGACUGGAAUUCCUGGUGUAGCGGUGAAAUGCGCAGAUAUCAGGAGGAACACCGGUGGCGAAGGCGGGUCUCUGGGCCGUAACUGACGCUGAGGAGCGAAAGCAUGGGGAGCGAACAGG